GACGAACGCUGGCGGCGUGCUUAACACAUGCAAGUCGAGCGGUAAGGCCCUUCGGGGUACACGAGUGGCGAACGGGUGAGUAACACGUGGGUGAUCUGCCCUGCACUUCGGGAUAAGCCUGGGAAACUGGGUCUAAUACCGGAUAGGACCACUGCCUGCAUGGGUGGUGGUGGAAAGCUUUUGCGGUGUGGGAUGGGCCCGCGGCCUAUCAGCUUGUUGGUGGGGUGAUGGCCUACCAAGGCGACGACGGGUAGCCGGCCUGAGAGGGUGACCGGCCACACUGGGACUGAGAUACGGCACAGACUCCUACGGGAGGCAGCAGUGGGGAAUAUUGCACAAUGGGCGCAAGCCUGAUGCAGCGACGCCGCGUGAGGGAUGACGGCCUUCGGGUUGUAAACCUCUUUCAGCAUCGACGAAGCGAAAGUGACGGUAGGUGCAGAAGAAGGACCGGCCAACUACGUGCCAGCCGCCGCGGUAA
rnacentral:rRNA from 1 species